GACGAACGCUGGCGGCGUGCUUAACUCAUGCAAGUCGAACGGAAAGGCCCCUUUGGGGGUACUCGAGUGGCGAACGGGUGAGUAACACGUGAGUAACCUGCCCUUGACUUCGGGAUAACUCCAGGAAACUGGGGCUAAUACCGGAUAGGAAUCCUUGCUGCAUGGUGGGGGUUGGAAAGCUUCGGCGGUUUUGGAUGGACUCGCGGCUUAUCAGCUUGUUGGUGGGGUAGUGGCUUACCAAGGCUUUGACGGGUAGCCGGCCUGAGAGGGCGACCGGCCACAUUGGGACUGAGAUACGGCCCAGACUCCUACGGGAGGCAGCAGUGGGGAAUAUUGCACAAUGGGCGGAAGCCUGAUGCAGCAACGCCGCGUGCGGGAUGACGGCCUUCGGGUUGUAAACCGCUUUCGGCAGGGGCGAAGCUUGUGGUGACGGUACCUGCAGAAGAAGCACCGGCUAACUACGUG
rnacentral:rRNA from 1 species